rnacentral:tRNA from 1 species
GCGCCAGUAGCUCAGUCGGCAGAGCACCGGACUUUUAAUCCGGGGGUCGCAGGUUCGAUUCCUGCCCGGCGCACCA